AGUCAGUGUAUGUAUCUGUGUAUCUGCUUGUGCGUCAGAGUGUGUACCUGUGCAUCUGAGCCGCAACUUUAAAUACAAAUACACCCCUCCAUUCAAACUUCAACACUACAUAUAAAACACACUCCUGCAUUGAAACGUCAACACUACAUACAAGCACACUCCUACAUUCAAAAACAAACACUACACAUAAAUGCACACUUGCAUUCAAACUCCAGUACCACAUACAAACACAUUCACACAAACAUACUCCAUACAAACACAUGCUUACAUUCAAACAUACUAACAUGGCUCAGUGCUAAAUACAACCCUGCAAGCAUGGG